rfam:TPA: Bos taurus chromosome 1, whole genome shotgun sequence.
UCCCUGGUGGCUCAGAGGUUAAAGCCUCUGUCUGCAAUGCAGGAGACCCGGGUUCGAUCCCUGGAUCGGGAA